UUGUCUGUGUAUCUUUUUUUUUUUUUUUUUUUUCCGGUAUAAUGCUGUUUUGGUUACUGUAGGCCUUGUACUAUAAAGUCAGGUAAUGUGGUGCCUCCAGCCUUAUUAUUUUUGCGUAGGAUUACUAUGGCUAUUCAGGAUCUUUUUGGUUCCAUAUCAAUUUUAAAGUAGUUUUUUUUUCUAAUUCUAUGAAUAAUGUCAUUGGUGUUUGAUGGGAAUAGCAUUGAAUCUGUAAAUUGCAUUUGGCAGUAUGGCCAUUUUAACAGUAUUGAUUCUUCCUAACUAUGAGCAUGGAAUGUUUUUCUGUGUUGUCUCUGAUUUCUUUGAGCAGUGUUUUAUAAUUCUUACUGUAGAGAUCCUUUACCUCUCUGUUUAGCUGUAUUGCUAGGUAUUUUAUUCCUUUUUUUGUGGCUAUAGUGAAUUGGAUUGCAUUCUUGAUUUGGCUGUCAGCUUGGAUGUUGUUUAUAUAUAGGAAUGAUAUGAUUUUUGUACGUUGAUUUUGUUUCCUGAAACUUUGCUAAAGUUGUUUGUCAGUUCAAGAAGUUUUGGGGCAGAUGCUAUAAGGUUUCUAGCUAGAGAGCUAUAUAGUUCUAAAUUGAAAACUUUCUGGAAAGGAUUCACCAUUCUAGAUGGCAUUAAGAACAUUCAUUUCUAGGUAGAAAACCAUAUAGUGUGCAACAGGGAUAGUUUGACUUCAUUUUUUCCUAUUUGAUUGCCUUUCAUUCCUUUUUCUUGCCUAAUUGCCGUGUCCAGGAUGUCCGGUACUAUGUUGAAUAUAGUAGUGAGAUAGGGCUUCCUGUGUUCUGGUUUUCCAGGAGAAUGCUUCCAACUUUUGCCCAUGCAGUAUAAUGUUGGCUGUGGGUUUGUCAUAGAUGGCUCUUAUUAUUUUGAAGUACCUUUCUUCAGUGUCUAGUUUGUUGAGGGUUUUUAACAUGAAGGGAUGUUGAAUUAUAUUGAAAGCCUUUUCUGCAUCUAUUGAGAUAAUAAUGUGGUUUUUGUUUUCAGUUUUAUUUAUAAGAUGAAUGACAUUUAUUGACAUGUAUGUUGAGCCAAUCUUUUAUCCCAAAGAUAAAUCCUGCUUGAUUGUGGUGAAUUAGCUUUUUGAUAUACUGCUGGAUAUAGUUUACUAGUAUUUUGUUGGGGACUUUUGCAUCUAUGUUCAUCAAUGAUGUUGGCCUGCAGUUUUUUUAUUUUAUUGUCUCACAACAUUUUAAACAUUUCCAUUAUUAUUAUAUAUGUUAUGGUUAUUGGUGAUAUUCAAGUUUUAAUUGUUUUAGGGUACCAUGAUCUGUGUUCAUGUAAAAUGCUAAGCUUAAUUGGUAAAUGUUGCAUGUAUUCUGACUGCUCCACUGACCAGUCUUCCACUGUCUCCUCCUGCACCUCUCUAUUCCUUGAGACACAACAAUUAUGAAAUUAGGCAAUUUAUAACCUUACAG